rnacentral:tRNA from 1 species
AAAAAGUAAGCUAAAAUAAGCUAAUAGGUUCAUACCCUAUCUAUAUAGAAUUCUAUCUUUUUA